rnacentral:rRNA from 1 species
AUUGAACGCUGGCGGCAGGCCUAACACAUGCAAGUCGAGCGGAUGAAGGGAGCUUGCUCCUGGAUUCAGCGGCGGACGGGUGAGUAAUGCCUAGGAAUCUGCCUGGUAGUGGGGGAUAACGUCCGGAAACGGGCGCUAAUACCGCAUACGUCCUGAGGGAGAAAGUGGGGGAUCUUCGGACCUCACGCUAUCAGAUGAGCCUAGGUCGGAUUAGCUAGUUGGUGGGGUAAAGGCCUACCAAGGCGACGAUCCGUAACUGGUCUGAGAGGAUGAUCAGUCACACUGGAACUGAGACACGGUCCAGACUCCUGCGGGAGGCAGCAGUGGGGAAUAUUGGACAGUAGGCGAAAGCCUGAUCCAGCCAUGCCGCGUGUGUGAAGAAGGUCUUCGGAUUGUAAAGCACUUUAAGUGGGGAGGAAGGGCAGUAAGUUAAUACCUUGCUGUUUUGACGUUACCAACAGAAUAAGCACCGGCUAACUUCGUG